GAUGAACGCUAGCGGCAGGCCUAAUACAUGCAAGUCAAGGGGCCAGCAAUGGCACCGGCGCACGGGUGCGUAACACGUACACAACAUACCUUUAAGUGGGAGAUAGCAUCGGGAAACUGGUGGUAAUACCCCAUAAUAUUGCGAUGCGGCAUCACAUUGCAAUUAAAGUUUCGACGCUUAAAGAUUGGUGUGCGUCCGAUUAGCUAGUUGGCGGGGUAACGGCCCACCAAGGCUACGAUCGGUAGGGGGUGUGAGAGCAUGACCCCCCCACAUGGGUACUGAGACACGGACCCAACUCCUACGGGAGGCAGCAGUAAGGAAUAUUGGACAAUGGACGAAAGUCUGAUCCAGCCAUGCCGCGUGCAGGAUGAAGGCGCUCAGCGUUGUAAACUGCUUUUGGAUGGGAAUAAUAACCUCGACGUGUCGGGGCUUGAAGGUACCAUCAGAAUAAGCACCGGCUAACUCCGUGCCAGCAGCCGCGGUAAUGUAGACGU
rnacentral:rRNA from 1 species